CCUACGGGUGGCAGCAGUGGGGAAUAUUGGACAAUGGGGGGAACCCUGAUCCAGCGACGCCGCGUGCGUGAAGAAGUAUUUCGGUAUGUAAAGCUCUAUCAGCAGGGGAGAAAGAAAUGACGGUACCUGACUAAGAAGCCCCGGCUAACUCCGUGCCGGCAGCCGCGGUAAGACGUAGGGGGCAAGCGUUAUCCGGAUUUACUGGGUGUAAAGGGAGCGUAGGCGGCGAUGCAAGUCUGAAGUGAAAGGCGGGGGCCCAACCCCUGGACUGCUUUGGAAACUGUAUGGCUGGAGUGCAGGAGAGGUAAGUGGAAUUCUUAGUGUAGCGGUGAAAUGCGUAGAUAUUAGGAGGAACACCAGUGGCGAAGGCGGCUGACCGGACUGCAACUGACGCUGAGGCUCGAAAGCGUGGGGAGCAAACAGGAUUAGAUACCCCUGUAGUC
rnacentral:rRNA from 1 species